AUGGACCGGAUCCACGUCACCGUGCGCGCGCGGCCGCUCCCGCCGGAGGACGCGCAGAGCAGCCCGUGGCGGAUCUCCGGAAACGCCGUCGCGCUCACCGCCCAGCCCUCCAUUCGCUUCGAAUUCGACAGGAUUUUCGGCGAGGACUGUCACACGGCGGACAUCUACGGGGCCCGCACCAAGCACAUCGUCGACUCUGCCGUGCAAGGGUUCAACGGCACUGUUUUUGCAUAUGGACAAACUAACAGUGGAAAGACCUAUACAAUGAGAGGAUCUGCUAAUGAACCUGGAAUAAUACCGCUUGCGGUUCAUGAUUUAUUUAGAACUAUACAGCAGCAUAUGGAUAGAGAAUUUCUUGUCCGCAUGUCUUAUAUGGAGAUUUAUAAUGAAGAAAUAAAUGAUCUUCUUGUCCCAGAACAUCGAAAAUUGCAGAUUCAUGAGAAUUAUGAGAGAGGCAUAUAUGUUGCUGGCUUAAGCGAGGAAAUUGUAACCUGUCCUGAACAAGUCUUGAAGUUUGUGUCAUUUGGAGAAUCCCACCGUCAUAUCGGGGAGACAAAUAUGAAUGUCUACAGCAGUCGUUCUCAUACCAUAUUUCGCAUGGUUAUUGAGAGUCGAGAUAAAGCUGAUGACAGUGAUACAGAUUCUUGUGAUGCUGUUCGAGUUUCUGUUCUGAAUCUGGUGGACUUAGCUGGUUCAGAACGUGCUGCAAAGACGGGUGCAGAAGGUGUGAGACUUAAGGAGGGUUCCCACAUUAACAAAAGUCUAAUGACUCUCGGAACAGUAAUCAAGAAACUAAGUGAAGGCAUAAAGGGCCAGGGGGGGCACGUUCCUUACCGAGAUAGUAAGUUGACAAGGAUAUUGCAACCUGCUCUGGGUGGAAAUGCUAACACAGCUAUCAUUUGUAAUAUAACACUUGCACAGGUCCAUGCAGAUGAGACUAAAAGCAGCUUGCAAUUUGCUAGUAGGGCAUUACAUGUUACAAAUUGUGCAGAAAUCAAUGAGAUUUUGACGGAUGCCGCUCUUUUAAAGCGCCAAAGGAAAGAAAUAGAGGAACUUCGAGCAAAACUCAAGAACUCUCAAAGUGAACACUUGGAUGAAGAUGUUUUGCACUUGAGGAACACCCUGCUACAGAGUGAACUGGAAAAAGAGAGAAUUGCUUUAGAGUUGGAGGAGGAAAGGAAAGCUAAAGAGCAACGUGAGAAGAGGUUGCUUCAGCAAGCAAAGAAAAUCGAAAAUCUUAGUUCGUUGGUUUUAAAUUCAGAGAGAGAUGAUAGGGCUAUUGUUUCCAGUAAGAACAAAAGAAGGCAAACAUGGUGUGCUCGACCCCUGUCGAAUGAAUUCAGUGUCGAGGUUCAAGAACCUGCUUCUGAACAAUGCUCUGCAAGCAGCUCAGUUCGUGACGAGCGUAACAUGGGGAUGCCCCCAUGUUUUGAAGAGCUAAUGCAAGAAAGCUACGCCAGCAAUGGCGAGCCUUCUGCUCAUGGCUGUUCAUUCAGUGAUCUAUCGAAUGAAGAUGUUUCUCUUCCCGAUGCACAUGCUUUGUUGCAUGUUACCAGCAGAAGAAAGCCAAAUACAAUGAAGAAAUCAGAUCAAGAGCAUCUUAGGGGUUCAGUGCCUGAACUACCCCAAGACCCUAAUGAGCGGAAAGAUGCCAUGCUAAGUCAAGAACCUAGUGGCUUAUCUGCUCGAGAGUCCGAGGCAAUUCUUGUCAUUAAACAACUUCAAGACCAGGUAAACUCGCUGGAGUUAGAGAAGAGUUUGAUUCAAAAUAACUUGGACGAUGUUCUGGAGGUGGCAACGCAGCAGAAGACUUCUUUCAGUGAGAAGUAUGAAGAGCUUCAGAAGAAUGCUCUGGCGGCACAAGAAGAGGCAAAAAUUGCUGGUGAGAAGCUAUCAGCUCUGGCUACUAUUGGAAAAUCCAAACAAGAAUUAGCAGAUGAAUUCCUCAGCAACGUGUCAAUGGAGACUCAAGGAAUAUCUGUGCAGAUGGAUCAAACAACCCACUCAGUCGACAAUGCUAUUUCUUUCAUUGAGGAACUCUUUCAGAGUCUGUCUGCGAUUGCAGAGAACGUAACUUCUGCUUAUGGGCAUAUAAAACAAUCCAGUUGUGUGAUUAUGGAUCAUGAGAAAAUGUCAAAAACAUUGAUGGAGAAAGUCAGCAGACUUGAAUUGGAGAAGAAGCUGCUACACGAACAGUUCCUUAAUCAACAGGAUGAACUUCAGAGGAUGAAGUCCAGUCUGGAAAGCUGUGAGAAGUCCAAGGAUGAUUGUAUUCUUCAACAUGAACUUGAGAAGGAUAACAUUCUCUCAGAGCUUCUAACUCUCCAAAAGGAAGUCUCGACCUUGUCAUCAUCUUCCUUGAUGAAAGAAAAGGAGUCUAUCAGAAAGGAACUUGAAAGAGCGAAAACAAAGUUACGAGAGACUGACAACAAGCUGAAGAAUUAUGUUCAAGAAAAAAUUAAACUUGAGGGUGAAAAAGCAGAGGCACACAGGGAAAUAAAGAAGUUACAAAGCCAGAGGACCCAUCUUGAACGUGAUUUAAGGAAACAUGAUUCUGUCACUGUUGAUAAAAGACAUGAAUUGAAUGUGAAGCCAGAAGAACUUGCUGCGUUUUUUGAUCAAGCUGUGCAGUUGCAGGAGGAGUACCAAAGGCUUGAGAUUCAUGCUUCUGAUAUGGAAGAUGAAAUUGCUUCUUUGCAAGAAACUUUAGCUACCUUGACUGCAGAGAAGGAAGAAGCGCUAUCUAAAGUAGAGUUUAUGGUGUUGGAACAGGAAGAUCUCGAAAACAGGCUUACUUCCGCAGAAUCAAAGAUAAAAUCCUUGAACGACGAGAUUGCUGUAUUGACCAAAAAACUUGAGGAAUCUGAGUCUUUUGGUAGAAAAUUGGAGGCUUCUCUCAGUUCUAUAUCAAAGGAAAAAGAAGACUUGGGAAUGCAACUUACUGAUGUUCUUCUGGAAAUGGAAUCUGAAAGUUCAAUGUGGAUAGCCAAGGAGAAAGCAUAUUUAGAAACUAAGCAGCAAUUGGAUAUAUGCACUGAUGAGAAUAGUAAAUUAUCCGAAGAUUUGAUUAAGGUGAGACAAGAGCUGGUGCAGUGUAGAGAAUUGUUAAAAACUCUGGAAGACAAAAUGAUCCUUUCUGUGGAGCAUAACAUAAAUGAGGAAAAAUGCUGCAGGGAGAAUCGUGAAGAAUCAGAACAACUCGUGGAGAAAGGAAGAAACAUUGAUAAUGAAAAUGAACUUUGCAAGCAACUACAGCUUAUUUCAGAAGAACGUGAUAGCUUACUUUCUAAGAUGAAACAGAUGAGCUUAGUCAUCAAUGAAUUAGAAGCCUUAAAGGAGGUUUCUAAUAAUAAGCUACUACAGGCCAAAGCUAAUAUGGAUGAGUUGAGCUGUCAGAUAUCUGCCAUGGAGGUCAAGAUGAAACAUGAUGCUUCGACCCACAACAAAGAAAAAACAAAGCUUCGCAUGCAAAUCCGGUGGCUGCAACCAGAGCUCGACGCGAACCGCGCAAGGCUUAAAGAGGCAGUGGAAGAACGGGCGCUGAUGGAUGAGAAUUAUCAGGAAGCAACCGCCAUGCUGAAGGCAAAGCUGAGAGAGACGUGCCGUGAGGUCCUGAAGCUGAGAGAAGAGCUUAAACGACCAGAAGCCGCAUCAAACUGA
rnacentral:rRNA from 1 species